rnacentral:rRNA from 1 species
ACUCCUACGGGAGGCAGCAGUGGGGAAUAUUGGACAAUGGGCGAAAGCCUGAUCCAGCAAUGCCGCGUGAGUGAUGAAGGCCUUAGGGUUGUAAAGCUCUUUUACCAGGGAUGAUAAUGACAGUACCCACAGAAGAAGCACCGGCUAACUCCGUGCCAGCAGCCGCGGUAAUACGGAGGGUGCGAGCGUUAAUCGGAAUUACUGGGCGUAAAGAGUGCGUAGGUGGUUAGAUAAGUUAUGUGUGAAAUCCCUGGGCUUAACCUGGGCAGGUCAUACAAUACUGUUUGACUCGAGUAUGGGAGAGGGUAGUGGAAUUUCCGGUGUAGCGGUGAAAUGCGUAGAGAUCGGAAGGAACACCAGUGGCGAAGGCGGCUACCUGGCCUAAUACUGACACUGAGGCACGAAAGCGUGGGGAGCAAACAGGAUUAGAUACCCUGGUAG